rnacentral:lncRNA from 1 species
CCAAGCACAGCAUAGGUAUCUGACAUGGAGACAGAAAAGAGAGGUAACAUUGUGCUUUCUCACAUAUGUCAAGUUAUUGUAUUUAUUUCCCCCAUCUUUGUGUACUGUAGUCGUGAAUCUUGUUUGCUAAUGGAUAUGUUAGAUUUAUCUUCUUAAUUCAUGAUGAACUUAUUACGAGUCAUUAGUGAAUAAAAAGCAACUGCAAUCCGCACUAGUUACACGGUGGCGGUUAAAGUGCCGUGUAAACAUUCUCAGAUCACGGGGAAAUGGUUCAAUUAACACUUUGGUGCACUUUAUUUUAUUAUUAUCAUUGUUGUUGUUGUUAUUAUUAUUAUUUUAUUUUUUUUGUGUAGAAAACAAAUGCUGCAUAUUCAUUAGUCUAUGAUGGUUAUAGCUGUAUAUACGAGUUUAUGUGUCUGUGACAUCCAGAGGUCCAAUUUGCAAUGUUCAUCUUAUCUGAAGUUUAUGAUGUAAUUUGAUUAGGUUCAUUAAAAAGACAAUUCAUGAAACAAAAAUUUAACAGAAGGCUGAUGGAAAACUCUGAAUAUCAGGAUCCAGGUUAUCAAGUUUUGACAAGACUAAUUAGGAGGACUCCUGCUUAGGUAUCUGUUUAGGGUUAUCGAGCAUCAUAUUUUAUAUUUCUUUAUGUAGUUGUUUCACAUUAUCAUUAUUUGGUAGGAACCAAUUAGAAACUUCCUCUUCAAUGGAGUUGACGAGCUUGGAACUUGGAAGCAAAACAUUUCUCAACUACUUUCCUGAGUAUAAGUGUGGGGAUGGGACUAUAAAUUGAAGGGCAGCAUGGUUGGAAAAUCAUUUGAAAGUUGACCCUGGGAUGGUAGAGGAGAAUUUUUUGGUGAUAAUUAAUUAAUCAUGGAUAGACGGCCUGCAUUUCAAAUCAUCUUCCUUCUUGCUGUCACCAUUAUUAUCCUCUUUUACCUGAUAUCUGAUAUGUAGAUUGCCUUGUCUGCAACAAACUCCUUCCAUCGUAUAAAUCUUGGUCUUCCAUUACAUGAAAGCAAUGCAGAAAUCUUGUGGAAGUUAGUUUGAGAGUAAGCUUAUGUGAUAUCUCAUAAGCUAUUCGAGUUCAGUUCCUCAUCCAUCCAACUAUGACAGUGCUAAAAGUUUUGUAAGUCUUGCAAGAACAUGGACCCCUCCAUUUUUAUUUCGCGAUUGAUUGAAGUUGUUGCUGGGUAGAGCUUCCUAUUUGUUAAAGAAUAAAGAUAUAGAAAGAUUAUCGUGAAUAGUCUGAAAAUUUUUCCUCAUACGUUGAUGUACAUUCUUAAUAGUUUGGUUCUCUUUUAGUUAUUUGUAAUUCCAUAAAUUCUCAGCGCUUAUCUGUUUGAACACAUAAAUUAUUAUGUGUUCAUAGUUUUAACCAUAUUGACCUAGCUGAAAAAUCCUGGUUUGACUUUUAG